CCUACGGGAGGCAGCAGUGAGGAAUAUUGGUCAAUGGCCGCAAGUCUGAACCAGCCAAGCCGCGUGAAGGAAGAAGGUGCUAUGCAUUGUAAACUGCUUUUGUCAGGGGGCAAAUGCAGUCACGUGUGGCUGGCUGCGAGUACUUUAAGAAAAAGCAUCGGCUAACUCCGUGCCAGCAGCCGCGGUAAUACGGAGGAUGCGAGCGUUAUCCGGAUUUAUUGGGUUAAAGGGGUGCGUAGGCGGCAUGUAAAGUCAGCGGUAAAACUCCGGGGCUCAACCCCGGAGUGCCGUUGAAACUGGCGGUCUUGAGUGGACGAGAGGUAUGCGGAAUGCGUGGUGUAGCGGUGAAAUGCAUAGAUAUCACGCAGAACUCCGAUUGCGAAGGCAGCAUACC
rnacentral:rRNA from 1 species